UACGUAGGGGCCUAGCGUUGUCCGGAUUUAUUGGGCGUAAAGAGCGCGCAGGCGGCUUGGCAAGUCGGGUGUGAAAUCCCGGGGCUCAACCCCGUGACUGCAUCCGAUACUGUCAGGCUAGAGGUAGGUAGGGGAGAUCGGAAUUCCUGGUGUAGCGGUGAAAUGCGCAGAGUAUCAGGAGGAACACCGGUGGCGAAGGCGGAUCUCUGGGCCGUAACUGACGCUGAGGAGCGAAAGCGUGGGGAGCGAACAGG
rnacentral:rRNA from 1 species